CUGCGCCGGCGCCGGCGCGCCGUGCCUUUGCGAGAGCGGAGUUGGGUUCUCCUCAGCACAGACGCGGAGAGCAUCGCGAGGGCGGAGCUGCGUUCUCAUCUGCACAGAUUUCAGUGGUACUGCGAAGGCGGAGCAGAGUUCUCCUCAGAUGAUGAUUAUUCCCCACCUUCUAAGAGACAAAGACCAACGAGCCGCCACAGCCACCAGUCCCAGAACCCGCCAAUGCUGGGGAACGGAAAAUGAGGGAGUUCAACUCUGGCCCUCACAAUCCAGUGGAGGAGACGCAACUCAUCUGCCUCUGUCCCUCUGGGCACGCCUCGUGCCAGGUGCAUCUGUGGACAGGGGCCAUGCUCCUGGGCUUCCAAAGUUGGAGAAAGCUGCCAGGCUCAGGUCUGAAGGCCAGAAUUCUACAGUAAGUCCUACUGAGUCAAGGUGGGAGCAGGGUCGGUAGCUUCCGAGGCUCUGCGGGAGAAUCUGUUUCCUGGCCGUAGAGGUGGCCUGCACUCCUCAGCCUGUGCUGCCCGUCUCGAAUGACUGGAGUUUCCUGCUUCUGUCACUACACCUCCCACCCUCUCCAUCACCUGCUCUGCUCUUACAAGGAUCCGAAGAAAUGGAAUCAUCGUAUCGCUGAUCUACGUAAACAAACUGAAGAAUUGUCUGAAAGAAAAUAUGGUAUGUCUAAACUGGAAAAGUCUUGUAAUCUUAUGUUCAUGGGCGUUUACACAGUGGAGUUACUGUUCAUCAUGGGGGUACCGUGGACAAGCCCAGGGCUGCCGGCGAGUCAUGCCAUCCUUACAUGUUUCUCCUUGUAAGGUGCUUUGUAGUGUCUACACACUUUGUUUCUAGAUUGCUGCAAAGCUGAGGAAAAGUUGUAUUUCUUUAGUUAUUAGUUAGCAUUUCUUUUAAACUUUCAGUAUGGAGAUUGGAAAUUUAUUUACAUAUUUAUUGCAAAGCCCUGGAUCUUAGGAAUUUCAUUGAAUUAUUUAUUUAUUUUUUUUGAGACGGAGCCUCACUCUGUCGCCCAGGCUGGAGUGCAGUGGCACGAUCUCGGCUCACUGCAACCUCCGCCUCCCGGGUUCAAGCAGUUCUCUGCCUCAGCCUCCCGAGCAGCUAGGAUUACAGGCACCAGCCACCACGCCUGGCUGAUUUUUGUAUUUUUAGUAGAGACGGGG
ensembl:lncRNA LINC01002 long intergenic non-protein coding RNA 1002